GUGGUAAUGCCGGAUGCUCCAGUUGAUCGCAUGGUCUUCUGGGAAAGCUUUCGCGGUAUGGGAUGGGGUCGCGUCCUAUCAGCUUGACGGCGGGGUAACGGCCCACCGUGGCUUCGACGGGUAGCCGGCCUGAGAGGGCGACCGGCCACAUUGGGACUGAGAUACGGCCCAGACUCCUACGGGAGGCAGCAGUGGGGAAUAUUGCACAAUGGGCGCAAGCCUGAUGCAGCGACGCCGCGUGAGGGAUGGAGGCCUUCGGGUUGUAAACCUCUUUUAUCGGGGAGCAAGCGUGAGUGAGUUUACCCGUUGAAUAAGCACCGGCUAACUACGUGCCAGCAGCCGCGGUAAUACGUAGGGUGCAAGCGUUAUCCGGAAUUAUUGGGCGUAAAGGGCUCGUAGGCGGUUCGUCGCGUCCGGUGUGAAAGUCCAUCGCUUAACGGUGGAUCCGCGCCGGGUACGGGCGGGCUUGAGUGCGGUAGGGGAGACUGGAAUUCCCGGUGUAACGGUGGAAUGUGUAGAUAUCGAAAAAAAACA
rnacentral:rRNA from 1 species